UACGGGGGGGGCAAGCGUUGUUCGGAAUUACUGGGCGUAAAGGGCUCGUAGGUGGCCAACUAAGUCGGACGUGAAAUCCCUCAGCUUAACUGGGGAACUGCGUCCGAUACUGGAUGGCUUGAGUUUGGGAGAGGGAUGCGGAAUUCCAGGUGUAGCGGUGAAAUGCGUAGAUAUCUGGAGGAACACCGGUGGCGAAGGCGACUCUUUGGCCUGUAACUGACGCUGAGGCGCGAAAGCGUGGGGAGCAAACAGG
rnacentral:rRNA from 1 species